ACUAUAACGCCCAUAACCCUGCAUGAAUCGAGGUCAUGUUUUGUGGUGGGGAAUAAAGUGUGAUUUUUCCUCCUGCAUUGUGUCAUUGACAGGGAAGUAUUCAACUUGGACCUUGAGAGCGGGGAAGUCCAGUAGAAGAAUUUAGUACCGGCUUUUUAUGUGGGAUCUGUUUUGCUGUAAGAGUCUGCAGGACUAGUACAGCAAUUGUCAACUAGUGCUGAAGGAGCUAAUAGUUAUAACUGAAUGAACAGUUAAGUAUGGACGAAAUUAAGGCUCUGAAGAUGUCUAGAGGUCUAAUAAUGCUGGUAUCAUCGCUGAUGGUUCUGGGCUCAGCAUGUGGGUAUCAGCUUGAAAAUGGAGGAAAGAUUUGGGGCCUUUUAGUGGCUGGGUCUAGUGGCUAUGACAACUAUAGACAUCAGGCUGAUGUUUGCCAUGCCUAUCAAAUCCUUCACAAGAAUGGUAUUCCGGAUGAAAAUAUUAUUGUCAUGAUGUAUGAUGAUAUAGCAUAUAAUGAAAUGAAUCCAACAAGAGGAAUAAUAGUCAAUCAACCUAAUGGAUCAGAUGUGUACAAAGGAGUGCUGAAGGAUUACACUGGAGAGGCUGUGAAUUCCACAAACUUCCUGAAAGUCUUGACAGGUGAUGCAAAAGGAAUGAGAGGAAUUGGAUCAGGACGUGUAAUCAAAAGUGGACCGAGUGAUCAUGUAUUUGUUAACUUUGUUGACCAUGGUGCACCAGGGCUCCUUGCAUUUCCUCGUGAUGAACUUUAUGCUGACGAUCUUGAAAGGGCUUUGAGGAAAAUGGCAGUUAAGAGACAGUUUGCACGGCUGGUGUUUUAUGUGGAGGCCUGUGAAUCCGGUUCAAUGUUUGACAGCCUCUUGCCAGAUGAUCUGAACAUCUUUGUAGUAACUGCUGCUGAUCCACAUGAAUCCUCUUAUGCAUGUUACUAUGACAGCCAGAGACAGACUUUCCUCGGUGAUGUUUUCAGUGUAAUGUGGAUGCAGGACUCUGAGAAGGAAGAUCUACUCCAAGAAUCUUUGCAUCAUCAAUACGAGAUCGUACGAACGGAAACCAACACAAGUCAUGUGGAAGAAUAUGGGGAUUUGGAUGUUGGAUCAAUGCAUGUCUCUGAGUUCCUGGGUUAUCAAAUCAGCCACAAACCGAAGUCAUUCAAAACCAAGCUGCCACCUGUUAAUGAUGCAGUACCAAGCCACCAUGUUCCAAUUGCUAUUUUACAACAUAAGUUGGAAGCAGCAGUUGAUCCAAAGGAGAAGCAAGAAAUUAAAUUCCAGUUGCAUCGGACACUGAAAUAUCGUCACCAUAUGGAAAGUAUUGUGUCAGAUAUCCUGAUGCUAGCCACUGGUAGGGAUGAAGACAAGGUUCAAGAACUGAAAGUAAAUGGAUACAAAUUGAGCCCAAAGCAGUUCAGUUGCUACAAGAAAUUGGUUUCCUCUUUCUCUGAGAAAUGCUUCAAACUUUCAGAUAAUCCUCAUGCUUUUAGACAGCUGUACAUACUAGCGAAUGUAUGUGGCCAUGAGAAAGUAAGCAUGAAGUCUAUGAUGAAUGCCAUCACUAAGGUCUGCUCAAGACAACCUCGGCUGCGUGGCAUUAUUUAAGAUGUUAGCAGUUUACUGACAUGACAGCAGUGUUUCAGCAGAUACGUAUUCUUGGUAUUUAUAUAUUUGUAAUAUCUGCUAUUUCUUCUCACCGGUUUUCUUGGCUGCUGAAUCUGAAAUGAAGAUUGGACAGGCUAUCACAAUUGAUGAUGAUGCUUGAAUGAAUGUUACUUUUAUAGAUAAUUUAAUAUUCUUGACUUGAUUUUGUUAGAAAUGAUUCUGCUGAAAGUUCAGUUUUUCAUGCAUGUCAUCAUUAAUGUCUGUACAUAUCUUUUAAUAGUGUAUGGCCUACAUUAACCUACUUCUGUGGCAUCAGCAUGCGACCGUAACACAUUCUUACUUUAAGUCAGUACAUAAUAGUACACAAAUUUGUAGCCUUAAGAUUGCUGUCUUCUGGGAUGUGAUGUUGUGUAGUGUGGAAGAUUUUUACUGAUGUUUUGGAGGAAUCUUCAGGGUAGAAGAGUAAGUGUGGAUACAGGCAGAGAACAGAUGAGAUAUGAGCCCUGUUAACCAAGAGGAAUAAAGGGAAGAUGAAAGAAUCAGAGGGCCUUGAGAAGGGUGUUCUGUAAGAAUAGAGAUGUGGGAAAAAUGAUGGCUCAGCUGGUAGGAGGAGGUGAGGAGAGAUGAAAUAAAGGGUGUUAUGGGUGGGAGAAAGACAAACACUAAACAAGUGUUGAGAGCAGAGUAAGGGGAUAAAAAUAAGCAGAAGAUGAAGCAGACACUUAGAAAGGCAAUGUCCAUGUCUUGAGAAGGGCAGUGUGUGCCGGUUCCAGUGGCCUUGUUUGAGAACCUCAACAUGAAAGGUAACAUGCUUCCAGAAUGUUAGCAUGUAUCUCCUGGACUACACGAAGCCACAUCCCAGGAGACAGUGCAAUUUCUCUGUCCAUUUUUACUACACGUAUGUUAAAGAACUGACUUAAAAUAUUUGCGCUGUUGGCAGAGGGUACUGAACCCCUUCCUGCAAUAAUACCUGUCUCACAUAUGACAUUUAUUAUGGAACUGAAUGUUGUAACCACAUAGCUAUCUGCUGUGUGAUAUAUAUAUGUGUAUAUAUAUAUAUAUAUCAAGUGCAGUUAGUAGUUGUAUGGAAAUAGAAGUACCCACUGUCAUUGACAGAACCAAAGUGACAUAAGAAUCAAUAUUUAGAGCUAAUCUUUUGCAGAUAGCUAUGUGACAGUAUAAAUUAGCUUUCUGUUUCUACUUAUCACUUUAAAAAGAAGUUUGUUUAUACAGAAAUGCAGUUUAAUACAUCAAAAUAUAUUACACAUAACGCUUUUCAGGGGCUGUAAGUACUCUGACAUGUACAGGGUCAUCAAAAAAGAACACUGGGAUUAUAAAACACUAUUAUUCAAAAACUGUUAAACAUAUCAAAAUGAUUCAAGUUUUAAAAUGUGGCGAAGGAACAUAAGUUUUGGAUAUGCUCAGUUGAUGGUGGGUAGCAAGUGACAUUGAGAUGCUUUUUGUCUGUUGACAACUUGUGCACAAGGCUGGCUGUCACAUUUCUCGAGCCCUGCUAGUUUUACCUCUCAGUGCAAGUAAGUGUUAGGAGAGAUGUGAACCAUGCAACAAAAGGCUGUGUGUGGUUUAUGGUAUGCAGAAUUGGUAUCGGUUGUGUAAUAGUGGUAAGUGGCAAAGGUUACAUCCAGGAGAAAAAGCACCAGAUGAUAAGGCUCUGAAUCAUUGCUUGAAACAGUUCAAAGAAACAGGAGGUGUUGCAAAACAGAAAUCUUCAGUUCAGCCAGGAAUAUCACUCCACAUUCUCUUCCAAUGUUCCUGGUCGACCUGAAGAUUUCUGUUUUACAUCACUUCCUGUUUCUGUGAACUGUUUUAACCGAUGAUUCAGAGCCUUAUCAUCUGGUGCCUUUUCUCCUGGAGUGAGCGAGAGUGAAUGUAAACUUUGCCACUUAUGUUGCACUGUUAUAACUGAUUUCAAUUCUGCAUACCAUAAAACGAACUGAGCCUUCUGCUGCAUGGUUCACAUCUUGCCUGACACUUGCACUGGGAGGUAAAACUAGCAGGUCUUGCACACAAAUUGUAUAGAUUGGUCAACUGACAAAAGCAUCUCGACAUCGCUUGCUACCCACCAUCAACUGAGCAUAUCCAAAACUUACGUUCUGUCACCGCAUUUUAAAACUUGAUUUCAAUAUGUUCAACAGUUUUAGAAUGAUAGGUCUUUUUACUUUUACCUAGGUUUUAUAAUACUGUAAUUCUUUUUCGAUGACCCCAUGUUUGGUCCCUCUGAAUUGCUUAUGUAAAAGUUAUGGUUAUCUUCUUCCUGCUACCUGAGAAAGAUUUGUUCCCCUGAAAUUAUGGUGUGCAGAGAAAGACCCAUUGUGGCUGAAUGUGAGAAAUGCAAAUGUAUACAUUUUUGUAAAAGCUGGAAAAGGAGUGGGCAUUACUUAAGGGCCCCAUAGACACUGCAGCUUGCAAUGAUAUAUGUAUCAGCUCUUAUAUCAAUAUAUAUGGGAUAUCUUUAGGAGUUCAUUAUUUUAAGGGGGGUAGAUAUUGACUUGUCAUAUAUUUGACAUCUGUAAUGAUGUAGAUGUUAACAGAACUGAUCUAGAUGUGGAGAAGCCCAUUAAUUACUUUAUGUACACAAGUGUAAUGUCAGGUUAUAUUAAUUAUCUUGAUUUGAACUUCAGAGUUUUGGCUGACUGCAGUUCAGGUAUCAUCUUGAAAGAUAUUUUCUAUUAUGUGACAUGUACUUAACAGCUUAAUGUGAUAAGUUAACUUCACACUGUUCUACAAUUUAGUGAAUUAUAAUGCAAGACAGACUUUAAAAAACUGUAAUAUCAAGUGACAUUGUCCUUUUUUCACCAGUAUACUGUGUGACAUUGAUACUGUUAUUUUCAAAGAAAAAUUUUGAACAUCUUAUAUCAGUGAAUGUUCCAAAGUCAGAAGAACCAUUGAGUGGUAUGUAGUUUUCCCAAGGCUGUCUUUCAUUUUUUGCCUUUUUCUUGGUGAUAAUGCUCAGAGGGAAGUUCAUGAAAUUAAGCACUGAUUUAAAAGAAGGCACAGGCCUGAAGUAGUUUGCUGCUGGAACUGUGUGAUUGUUGUCUUAGUGUAUGUAAAAGUUGCUUGUACAUUUUGGCUAGUAGGCAACUACACAUUCCUAGAAUCGAUAUACAUCAGGAUUCUCUUCCAGCGGUUGCAUGCGAAACAGGAAAGAAAUCUGGCAUCACUCUUGAUACUGGACCUAACUUUGGAAUUUGGUCCAAAAUAUCAAACCAGUUGUUUGUGAAUCCCAUGUAGACUUUUUAUGGAUUCAUAUUUAAUGCCAGUUGUUGUGAAAAUAAUUUAAGUCUUUGAAGUUCUUUUAAAGAGUGCAAUUCAAAAUGCGUCCUAAAUAAAUAAUUAUAGUUUUCUUAAUCUGAAAUUGAGUCAGCUGUGUAGGAAGAACACUGAAAUUUUUGCAGUGCUGUAUUUUGAUCAGACAGUUUGCACCUUUGUUGUUGUGCUCUAGAGUAGAAUACAUUGUUAUUUCUGAUAACUCAUUCAUUUUGUGAAGAGGAAAGUCUAAUUCUUACCUAAUCUGUAUGAAUUAUUGUAGUAAAACUUAUCUUAAAGUGAAUCUAGAAGUAUCACGGCAGUCUCACUCUUGAAAACAUUCUUUGCAUUUCAUUUGAAAUUUUGUUGUUUGGACCAAGAGAUUAGUUUUAAGGGGCUAUAUAUUGUUUUAUUUUGUUUUCAUUUUUACGUUUCAAGAACUAUGUUGAAAAGUAAUAUUUAUAACAAUGUCCUCUAAUUCAUUUGAGAUUUAAAUGUGUAUCUAUUUUACCUAUAAUGAAGAAGUAAAAGCAUUCUCACAUAA